rnacentral:lncRNA from 1 species
AAUGGUCUCAACUAGUGGUGGGGGAAAAUAUCGAUUCUUAGAUGCAUCUCGAUUCAGGCAAGGACGAUUCUGAAUCGAUUCACAAACGUCCAAAUUCCGAUUAUUUAGAUGUUAAAUAACGUGAAAUAGGCGGAACGAAAAGGCGGAACUCGUGCAGCGCGUUGUCACCCGGCGGACACUUUAAGGGGAGCACAUAACAAAGAAGCAUGGCUGAGCGCGAGAUCCACCCUGCCCCUUCCAGAUUAAAAGCUAAUGUAUGGAAGAAUUUUGGCUUCUACGGAGUUGAGGGUGGACUUGAACUGGACAAGAGCCACACUAUAUGUAAACUGUGUCACUCCAAGAUAAAAUACUUUGGUAACACCACGAACAUGAGGAGCCACAUCACUCGUUUUCACCCGAACGAGGAGGGAAGAUGCCCGGCUGCUGUCGAGGCUACGGCUGCCUCCACCAAACAGAGAACAAUCGAGCAAGCAAUUACAAAGCUUCCCCCCUCAUCGGAAAAGGCGAAACGAAUCACGAAGUCCAUCGCUUCAUUUAUUGCCAAGGAUUUACGUCCGUAUUCAGUAGUGGAGAACCAGGGCUCCCGAGCACUAUUGCACACGGUGGAGCCGAGAUACAACAUUCCAUCCCGACACUACUUCACUGACACGGCCAUCCCGACAGAUAACAGAAUUCUGUUAUUUAUUUUCUAAAAAAUGAAAAAAUGUAUUUAUUUGUUUGAGUGCUAUAUGCACAUAAAUUAAAGAUUAAGUUCAUAUUUUCUUACAUUUCUUAAUAAGGACAUAUUUUCACAUUUCACAUAAUGUGAUUCAGGAUAUGCUAAAAGCCAAGGAUGCUGCUACCUUUUGUUCUUUACAUGAAGUUGUAACUUUCCUGUUUACACAUUUCCACAAGUAUAAUAAAAGAUAGUGGAAAUUAAUUCAUUUAAUUGUUUCUCAUUAUUAAUAUUUUAAAAACACAAAGUGGUGAAUGGUUACACAGUGAGACAAAAAGAAAUGUGUAAUAGCUGGGGGGGGGAUAAUCGUUUCAGAAUCGAAUCGUAGCCCCUGAAUCGUAAUCGUAAUCGAAUCGUGAUGUGCCUGAAGAUUCCCACCCCUAGG